GUAUAAAACUCUACCAUAUCUUUUUGUCAAACAAGCAAGCGUAAACAUAAGAGGCAGAGCCUCUAACUAUUAUUGAUCCUUCCGCAGGUUCACCUACGGAAA
rnacentral:misc_RNA from 1 species